rnacentral:rRNA from 1 species
UGGAGAGUUUGAUCCUGGCUCAGGAUGAACGCUGGCGGCGUGCUUAACACAUGCAAGUCGAACGAUGAAGCCCAGCUUGCUGGGUGGAUUAGUGGCGAACGGGUGAGUAACACGUGAGUAACCUGCCCUUAACUCUGGGAUAAGCCUGGGAAACUGGGUCUAAUACCGGAUAGGAGCGUCCACCGCAUGGUGGGUGUUGGAAAGAUUUAUCGGUUUUGGAUGGACUCGCGGCCUAUCAGCUUGUUGGUGAGGUAAUGGCUCACCAAGGCGACGACGGGUAGCCGGCCUGAGAGGGUGACCGGCCACACUGGGACUGAGACACGGCCCAGACUCCUACGGGAGGCAGCAGUGGGGAAUAUUGCACAAUGGGCGCAAGCCUGAUGCAGCGACGCCGCGUGAGGGAUGACGGCCUUCGGGUUGUAAACCUCUUUCAGUAGGGAAGAAGCGAAAGUGACGGUACCUGCAGAAGAAGCACCGGCUAACUACGUGCCAGCAGCCGCGGUA